AUGAUGCCGCCGCCGCCACUUCGGCUAUCGCAAGACCAUUUUGUCCGCCGCUACAUCAGGCGCAAGAUACUUUCGGCCGCCGCUGCCUCAAGGUUGGGUUGCCAUGUAUAUAUCAGCAAGAAAUGGGCCGGAGGAAGAAACGAAGCAAGCCCAGCAGGCUGCCCAUUUGUCCCAGCCCGCAGCACAAGCAGAUGCACGCCCGCAUCCCGCAGCCCCGCAUUGCUCCCGUCCCCUUUGGUAUCCAUUCCGCACCAAAACCUAGAUGCACGCCGCACCAGCCGCCUCCGGCCGGACGCCGCGCCCUUCCUCAGUAGGCCGCCAACUCUAGCCGCCCUUCCUGCUAGUGGCUGCGCGCCUGCGCCCUGCUGCUUCCACGCCGGCGCCGGCCACGGCGACCAGUCUUAA
rnacentral:rRNA from 1 species